rnacentral:lncRNA from 1 species
UCUGCAGUCGCUGCAGAGGGAGGGUGUGUGGAAGUCCCAGCACCUGAUGACUCUGGCACUUUGAAUAGAGCCCUGAAUGGCCGUGUCCACACACGCACCCCUAGGGGCCUCUCUUCCCGCCGAGUCCCAGGUCCGGGAGGCCAGCUGAGCUCCCAUGGGCAGCCUGCCGCGCCCUUUGCCACCUCCACCUGCCCUUGUCCCCGCUCAGCCUCUGCGCCCCCUUCCCUCUCUGUGCGCUCUGCUCCUGCGUCCUCCAGCCCUGGGCCGGGGGCCGGGGGCCAGCUCCUGUCUCGGGGUCCCCGGCCUCUGGGGGGCCUCUGUGCCCCGCCCCGGCCUUCUCUGCUCUCGGGAUGCUCCUGCUCCCGCCCGGCCUGCCUCCGCCUCUCCCUGCCUCUCGGAGACCGUCUCUGCCCCUCCAGGGUGCUCCGCCGGGCUCUGCCCCCGGGUCCCUCCCCGGCCCUGUCCGUGUGUCCGUCCGGGCCGCGCGGGGGGCGCCGGCGGGGCGGCGGCGGGCGGCCCUUUGUGUGGGAGAUUGACGGGCGGCCUCGCGGCCUCCGCAGCGCUGAUUAGGAUGCAGCGCGGGCUCCGACUGCAGCAGCGUCCCCGUCCCCGCCGAGCGCUCCCGCCGCGCGGUACCGACCCCCCCGCGACGCUGGCCCCAGGCGAGGCGACCCUCCGCGUCCCCAGGUGGUGCACCCGGCGCCCCUGGAGGAUGGGGGAGUGCGGCCCGGGUCCCCGCGGCCCGGGCCUUCGGGGAGCAGGGGGGAGGCGGAGGGGCGGCCGCAGGGGCAGGUGCAGGAGGGACGUGAGCGGGCCCAGAGGCGCCCAGCAGCGCAGCGGCCCUCGCACGAGCACGCGUGAAGCAACAAGUCCACGGGGGACACGCGUGCGCCUCUUGCCCGCGCACAGCCUGCAACCCUUCCUGGCGCAGAGGAAGCUCUCCAGCGUCCUGGGCUCCUCUUCCACCCGUUCUCCCCAAAUGAGCGCCCACAUCAGUGCAGCCCAACUCCUUUAGGGACCCCUCCCACUCGCCCCCCAACUGGGCGUCUGCCCCCCGGGCAGCCUCCCCCGCCAAGCCUUCCAAGCNNNNNNN